rnacentral:rRNA from 1 species
GACGAACGCUGGCGGCGUGCUUAAUACAUGCAAGUCGAGCGGAAAGGCCCGGCGUUUGUUGGGUGGUCGAUUGGCGAACGGGGGUGUAACACGUGAGUAACCCGCCCCUGACUUUCUGAUAACUUCUGGGAACACGGGCGAUUACCCGGUAGAAUCUCCUGCUGCAUGGGGGUGGAUGGAAAAAUUCGGCGGUUGGGGCUGGUCUCGCGGCUUAUCAGCUUGUUGGUGGGGUAGUGGCUGACCAAGGCUUUGACGGGUAGCCGGCCUGAGAGGGUUGACGGCCACCAUGGGACUGAGAUACGCAGCAGAAGCCUACGGGAGGCAACAGUGGAGAACAUUGCAGAGUGGGCGGACGCCUGAUGUAGCAACGCCGCGUGCGGGAUGAUGGCUUUCGGGUUGUAAACCGCUUUCGAAUGUGCCGAAGAGUGCGUGACGGUACUGGGUAAAGAAGCACCGGCUAACUACGUG